rnacentral:rRNA from 1 species
GAUGAACGCUGGCGGUAUGCUUAACACAUGCAAGUCGAACGGACUCUUCGGAGUUAGUGGCGGACGGGUGAGUAACGCGUGAGAAUCUGGCUUUGGGUUCGGGACAACCACUGGAAACGGUGGCUAAUACCGGAUGUGCCGAGAGGUAAAAGAGAAAUUGCCUGAAGAUGAGCUCGCGUCUGAUUAGCUAGUUGGUGAGGUAAAGGCUCACCAAGGCAGCGAUCAGUAGCUGGUCUGAGAGGAUGACCAGCCACACUGGGACUGAGACACGGCCCAGACUGCUACGGGAAGCAGCAGUGGGGAAUUUUCCGCAAUGGGCGAAAGCCUGACGGAGCAAUACCGCGUGAGGGAAGAAGGCUCUUGGGUUGUAAACCUCUUUUCUUAGGGAAGAACAAAAUGACGGUACCUAAGGAAUCAGCAUCGGCUAACUCCGUG